rnacentral:SRP_RNA from 13 species
GAGCAGCCUGUUGGCAUACGGCUGCCACUCGCCCGGCUGCGGGUUUGAGGUGUCCGCCGGGAAAAUCGGCUUCGGCCACUGGUCCGGCCAGAGCCGCGC